rnacentral:tRNA from 1 species
UGGGUUGUGGCUCAGUGGUAGAGCACUCACCUAGCACGGGCAAGGCUCUGGGUUCGAUCCUCAGCACCACAU